AAAAUCGACCAAGUGCGAGUCAGACUCGCACACCGAGGGUUCCGUACUACAGUCGUAUGUUUUCGACAUUUCGCACGAUAAAUCAAAAAAUAUUAUGCA